CAGACUGAACCAGCCAAGUCGCGUGAGGGAAGACGGCCUACGGGUUGUAAACCUCUUUUGUCGGAGAGUAAGUACGCUACGUGUAGCGUAUUGCAAGUAUCCGAAGAAAAAGCAUCGGCUAACUCCGUGCCAGCAGCCGCGGUAAUACGGAGGAUGCGAGCGUUAUCCGGAUUUAUUGGGUUUAAAGGGUGCGUAGGCGGCACGCCAAGUCAGCGGUGAAAUUUUCGGGCUCAACCCGGACUGUGCCGUUGAAACUGGCGAGCUAGAGUGCACAAGAGGCAGGCGGAAUGCGUGG
rnacentral:rRNA from 1 species